GAUGUUGUCAUCACUGUCUGCAAAUAAGAAAGAUGAAAAUAAUUUCAGAUGUUCUUGGCGUCCCCCAAAAUGCCUUUAUUAACCUUCUUUUCUUCUCAACUCUUGUGUAAUUGAAAGCCCUCCCUUAGCUGAAGGCAAAGGAGGAAAAUUAAGCAAUGGCUAACCUUUUUGUGAAGAAAAUUGGGAUGUACCAUCUCUUGUAUUUUUCUAUAAAUAGGGCAUUACUUUCCUGAAUCAAUUCACUGCAGGGUAAUAGCCCGCAAUUUACGUACAAUGGCAAAAUAGAUGGCAAUUAGCAAUAAGUAACUCAUGUAUUAUACAACAGCCCCAUUAAAGAGAGCCACCCAUAUCGGCUCACCCAGUAGGACAUUGAAACAAUAUUUCAGCAAACCAGAAGAACUUUGCACUACAGAACAAGCCUUGCACAGCCUGGCCAUGCUGCCCAAUCUGUCCUGCAGGGCUCAUCCUUGUGUGGCACCUUCCACAGCUGUGACAUCCUGGUGAGGAGCAGUCAGGGAGGUGAAUCCUUCACCCCAGCAGCCAUGCACUGGCUGCAAAGGCCUGUGGGUUUUCAGCGGGAUGCUCCGGAACAGCCUGUGUUUCCCUGUGCUCCCUGCAGGCAGAGGUCAAGUGGGAGGUUGGUCCCAGGAAUGGUCUCGAACCCACACAAGUGUGGGGUAGUUACUCUCUGUUGCCUCAUUUCAUCUGUGGGAGACUGUGGCAGAUGUCCUGCCAGCAGGACAAGCAGAACCCUCCAGAGACAAAGAGAGUACCCAGCACAGGAAGGGGUGCACAGUGUGUCCUGUGGCCCUUUCUAAAGUAUUUCGAAGUGAUUGCUAUUCUGAGCACAUCCAAUAACAUUUUAAGACACUAAACCUGAUGGUCUUCUUCAAGAAGAAAUACACAGCAUAAAGGACAAAAGGCUUGAGUAUCCUGCAGUAAAGACAUGGCUGGAACCACAAAAGCUUAUAAAAAGUUUUCAAUGAAUGCAGCACUGCCAAGAGAGCCUCAGGAUUUCAAGGUCACUCAAAAACAAAUAAGAAGGGCAAACUUGAAAUAAAAACUUGGUUUUAUGAAGGGGAAAAAGGCUGUGCCCUGUAGCACUUCUUGUUGGAGAGCACUUAGCAUCACAGGCAUGAAUUCUAAUAUGGUUAAUGGGUUACAGUAGGACAGUGACAGUGUGAGUUUAAAAUUCAUUUUCUGCCAGCUGUUGUCCUCAACUGUAGGGUUACAUAGCAGAGCACUUGUUUCUCAGUUCUCUAUUUGUAUUCUUAACUAUUCCAUUUUUCUUAAGCCUUCAUUCCCAGUGGCAACUAGGAGAAAAGUAACUGAGUAUUCAUUGCAGGAAGCUGCUUGUGUUUGAAAAGCUGUUUGAAUGCCUUAUAUGUUACUGUGUGUGUUGACUUCAUAUUGCUCUCCCAUCUUGUCCAGAUGAAGAAGUAUUUUCCCUUAGACUCUUUCCAGGUAUCAGUGGUAUUCUGUGAAUAGACCCACCUGAGCAUCUAUCUUGACCCAGGGAAAAUUAGAGACAUCCCACACAAGACUUAACCAGAUGCUCAGAAACCACUCUAAAAUCAGAGGAAUGUUGCAAUAAUUCCAACACUUUGUCUUUCCAUGUUUUGAGUUACUCACAUCAUGAGGAAGAUUUCUUUGAAGAAAUAUCAAAACACUUUGAUGCCAUAAUCCAAUGCAAAAGAAGAUUCAGUCAAAGAAAAGGUAAUAUUUAAAUGCAUCUCUCAAGCUUUUCCUGUAGUAGGUGCAUUCAAUGGAAUUGCUCUGUACCCCAAGUUUCACUGUUGUCAAUUAAUCUGUUCUUAACCACCAUUCUGUUAGAGAUCCGCCUCACAACCCCAGUGAACAUAACAGCAGACAGAGGUGUCUUGUUGGAAAGGAACAAGGUUACAAAGAGGGAGAUGGACAAGUGCUCUUUGUACUGCCAAGGAGGCAAAUCUUGUAGUCCUGACUUGUGAUGGCAUUCAUUGACUUGAACAGAAAUGACAUCAGGACAAGAGGAGUGGAUGGUUUCUUGUUUCUUUACCUGCUGUGCAUCCACAGUGCUUUUGCCAGAAUGAGGGCUUUCCAAUAUUAGCACUGCAAGGGCAGACAGAAAGGCAUUCUUUUUAGGUAUGCUGUACAUCCUAUAGCAGUUACGGAUUAUUGACCAAAUGUAGCUUAAUGAUCUCUUUCCAUUGGAUUUCAGAAAUAGAAUAUUAGAAGAAUAUAUAAGAAUAUAAAAGGCUGUAGGAAAAAAAUACUUGAAAGCACAAAGGUACACUUUAGUAUCACUGGCAUUUUUUGGUUGUUGUUGUUUUGCUGUUAGAUGUCAAAACUGCACCUGAUUUGUUUGUUUGUUUGUGAAUUUUUCAGCAUUGGAAUGACCACACUGUGAGAUUUUACAGCCAUUUCAGGCAACCUGAGAGAAGGAGUAUAGAGCUAUAAAAGGCUUUUGCAUCUUAGCAUUUUCCUGUGGGAGUAAAGGGUAAAAAGAAACAUUUUCUUGAUGGAUUUCGGUAGCUGCUAUCUUCAGUGUCCAAACUGCCCAUCCUUCCUGAUUGACUCUAUCUGCUAUGGGACAAAGCUUUUAACAAUUUCAAUAUUACCAGUGGCAUCAGAACAAUAAGCAGGCUGUGAGCAAUGUUUCCAGAUGAAUUUUGAAAGUCUUCAUACUGCAGCUUUUGAGAAAGAAUCCAGAAAAAUCCAUCUUCAGUACUAUCAGCCUAAAUUUUUACAUCUUUUUCUGACAACAUUUGUCUAUUGAUGUACUUGAUAUUUUGGGUUUGAAGACUUUGAAACCAACAGUUUUGAGCAGUUCUGCAUAAAUUAUGCAAAUGAGCAGCUUCAGUAUUACUUUAACCAGCAUGUUUUCAAAUUGGGAUGAGCAAGAAAUUAGUGACUGAAACAAAAACUUAUUAAGGGCUCUACUAUGCAAAAUGAUCGAUGAAACGUCAUGGAUUUAUUUUUAUAAAUGUUUGAAUGUAUUUUAAAAACUUUUUUUUCCUCACUUGUUGGGUUUAUAUCAUUUCUUAUGAUAUUGCAGAAGGUUGCAGUUUUGCCAUACUUAGUGCUCUGCACGAACUAAGGACAGCUGGGUCUUUCUUUAAAGAGUUGGCAGUAAGUUUCUAUGCUUCAGAACAGCCACCUCCGUCAGCACCUCACUGUCAUAGAUGUUAGCUGUGAAACUGCCUCUAACUGCAGGAAGAUUCAGGCAUCUUGCCCUCUGCUGCUGUGGAUUGUCCCAUUUACAAGUGAUUUUCUGCUGGACUUUUGUGCAGAAGGCCGAGACUGCAGCUUCUGCUGAACUCUCUCUAAACAUGUACACCAGCGGUGGCAGAGAAGAAUGAUGCUAUUGUAACCACUUAGCAACACUUUAAAGGAACUGGGUCACAAGAGGCAGGUAAGGCACUGUUGUGUGCUCAUUUUGGGACUCAUGCAUAUGGAUGUAUGCACCUAUUCAGUAGAUGCUUGGACUAAUAAAUAGAGAGGAGCCAGCACCCAUCUCUAUCACACACAGGUAAGGCAGAAAUGAACAUGGCAGAUGAAUAAUCCUAUCAGAGUUCAUGAGCUGAGGUACUCAACUGAGCUCACCUCACUGACAUACUGCUUUUCAGCACUUGUCUCCAUUUCCAAAGGCAUGGGGUAUAUAAAUGGUUAAAAACAAAACCAGAACAAAACAUCAAAACCUUAUUAGGGGGAAGGAAUGUGUAGGUGAUGUAAAUAGACAAAAAUAAGUUGUAUGAUCAAAUUGCACUAUUGUGAUGCAAAACUGUAGAGCAGCUUUCUCUCAAAAUAUUUUGCAAACUCAUUGGCAGGGAUCAAGUAUUCUAAUCUUUGUAUCCUUUAUAAGGUUACAGGAAGGACUUCAAGCACUGCAGUAAGAUGAGUGCUAAUGCAUCACUUCAAGUGAACAGUUUCAUAAGCAGAACCUGUUGGAGAGAAGGCACUCAAUACCUGAGACCUGGAUGCACGCACAGGGUAGAGAAUGUGAAAAGAAUACUAAAUAGCUUCCCAGUGACUGCAUGAAUAGGAAUCCUUAUGGACAACAGGAUAUGCUAAUGUAAUUAAAGAAAAUACAUAGGUACUAAAGCCCAAAUCAUAAAUUACAAGCAGGCCUAUUAAGUCACUGACUUUACAACCUUAUUAAAUAGUGCUCUUCAGAAAAGUUACAACAGAGCUGCAUUACUUUAAGAUUUGCAGUCUGAGCCAAAUUAGAAUGUUCUGAGUGUUAGCCUAUUUUCUUCCAAAACAUCAUAACUAAGUGGGAAAAAGCCUUCUGACUGUCACAUCAUCCCUAGCUAUGGCUAAGCCAGAUUUUGUUAUUCUCACACCUGUUCUUGCCCAGGAAGUCCUGCAUGGGUUUGUUACUGAUGGCCUUGUAAUCUCGGAGUUAUUAAUGUUAUCACUAUUAUAAUUAGUGCUUAAUGCACGAGAUGUCAUACUGUUUGGCAGUGCAUGAGGCUUCUGUACUUGAUACCAUGAGGCUUCUCUGUAUGUUUCACCUCUUAUGUAUCCUAAAUCUCUGUAAAGCAGAGUCACUGAGCAGGGAGGGCAGACCUUGCUCUCCCUGCUCCCACCUCCCUGACACCUACAGGGAAUAGCAGCUCAAGAGCAGCCUCAAGCUCCAUCUUUCUGACCCAUCAAAUUGCUUCCUUUCCCUCCUACUCUUGCAAUGCAGCCCCCUAGAGGGGUUUCAUUCUCAAUAGACACCUACCUAGGACUGCUAAAAUGCUUUGUGGCUUUUGUAUCACUAUGGUUUGCCAACAAUAUGAAUUUAUUUCAAGCAGCCUUUUUCAGUAAAUAGCAGACUGAAAGAAUUCCAUAGCCUGCUGCUAUAACUUUCCUGCUGUUUCUGUCUUGUUCUGAAGUAAAUCUUCUCUCUUUCUGGUUCAGAAAAGCAACAUGACAGUUCCUAAUUCCUUCUCAUGACAAUGACAUCCUGAUAUUACUGAUAUUACUGAUAUUAUUGUUGUUUGGGUUUUUUUUCCCACUUUGAGGUGGACUAGCAAAAGAGGCUGGAGAUCUACUUAGAUAGCAGCUUUAAAUUUUGCUGCAAUUUGUUUGUUCAAGCUGGCUGGGUAAUUCAGCUUGUUGUUGACCUAGUUCCAGUUGUAAAAGAUCAGACUAUUUGUUCUCACAGAAGUGUUAUACUUUGACCCCUAAAAUAAUUAGACUUUUUAAAAAUAUUUGCCAUAGAUUAUUAAUAAAUGUUAUAAUGCUUUGCUAACUGAGUUCCUUGUUUCAUAAGAAAAUAUUUUGUUUGCGCAUAGCCUUGAUGGUGAGUCUUUUUAAUUGUAAGGCGUAAGUGCUACAGGGAAGGGUAACACUGAAAUUCAGCAGUGAACUAGAUUUUGAUCAGCAUGGCACAUGACAUUGUUGUCACAGAUGCUGUGGCUUCAUUGCACGUUUCUUUCCCUCCAGCAAUAAUGAGGCAAAUGCAUUCACUGUAAUUAGAGAUUUGAAACCUGUGUUAUGUAAUUGGUUCUGCUACACUGAGCAGAAUGAGUGUCCUUUUUAAAAAGUAGAAGAAGACAGAAAAACAAGUUAACGGAGCCAUCCAUGUAGUCUCCUGCCUGUCCUUCCAUCCCCUCCAAGUGCCUGAUUCUUGCUCACUUGCUCACACUUCAGCAAUCCUGAGAGGAGCAAUCAGUUGCCGCAAAGUUUCUCAAAGCAGUUCACUUGACUUCUAGCAGGUUUCUGGGGAGGACCUGGAUCCAGCCUACCAUGAUUAAGAGCUGUGAGGGAGAUGGCUGUGACUUUUCUGGUUCCACCUAUUGUGGGAAUUCACCCAGGCUCCAUCAAUGUGUGACUAAUUUCCUGGACAGGCAUGUAUUGCAAAAGAGUCCAUGGAGACCUUUGUGCCUUCCCUACCCAGCAGAGCCUGCGGCCCUUCUGCCUGACUGCCAAGGGAGCCACGGGGAUGUGGGGAGAGGCAGCUGGAUUGCCAGGGGAGCUGGAUCAGCUUUGAGAAAGCAAGUGGACCCAGGGGAGUGGGAGGGAAUAAAGUAGAAAAUGCUGUAGAUGCAGCUUUUGGAUUCAAACGAGAGAGUUGCUCUUUGUGGGCUUUAUUUGUAAGGGUUGUCAGAGAUAUCCUUUUUGCCACCCAGAAUGCUGCUAAGCAAUUACAAAACAUUAGCUGCGAUUUCAGACAUUUACGCAAUCAGCUGUUUCUGGGACACUGGUGAUCAGAGCUGUAGGCUUCUGCUAUGUGUUGUAUUUUCAGCACUCUGUGCUUUAUCCCAGGCCAGAAAGUAUUUCUGAAGUCUCAAUUAAUGGAUGUAUACUCUUACUAGAAUCUGACUUUAUUUUUAUUUUAUGAAAAAUGUUCUAUCCUUUGGAACCGGGACAGAAACAUGUGCCACACACAUAGGAGUAUGACAUAGUUAUUUGCAACUAAAAUGUUGAACUUCCAAUAUCUGGAGGUAGUUACACAGAAUCAAAAUGAAUUCUUGGUGAUUUGCUGCCACAUCAAAGUGAGGAAUUGCCUUCUCCCUUUAUGUCCAUCAGCAGUGUGAUGUAGAAUAUGGGUAAUAGUUUGAGGGUGUGCGGUGAUGUUCCAUCUCUAAAUGUGGCACUCCCUGGUGCAACAGAGAGAAUUCAAAGAGAAAGCAAAUCAGAAGAGAACACGAGUGGAGGAUGGGGCAAGAAGGAGUGACAUCUGGGCACUGCUGGAUAGCUUCCAGGAUCUGGAGUAAGAUGGAGUGAAAAGCUCGGGAUGAUCUGGUUUAAGCAAGAGGCCAGCUUCAAAAGCCGUGCCUUCUCAGUGUGCUUAGGCUAAUUGCAUGGACAUUCAUCUUCUUAUUUUUGGCAGAAAUCAUUGUUUCCACAGUCCUUCCUUCCCUCAUCUCUGCUGCCUCUCCAAGAGAGAGAACAACGUAUGCAUAUGGGUUGAUGCUCUGAGAGGGAUGAGUACUGAGAAAGACCAAAGAAAACUAACCGUAAUCUCAAAGGCCACUGAUAAGGAGCAAAACAAAUUUAAGUUUUAAACAGACUUAAGCAUUUCAAAACCAGAUGAGUAUUCUGAUUUGUUUUACUGUAAAAACAAAUGUUGACCUCUGCAUAGUAAGUUUUUCCUGGACUUCUGCUUCCAAAAUAAAACAUUUCAUUCAUUUU